GUCUUGAUAAGAUCCUUAGGUUGUCACGAGCGCGUAGGAAUUCGCGGAUCUCAAUUUGGAUACCGUUUGAGCCUCGAACGGAUUUUACAUAUUGUGCGAUUUCCGGGUUUAAUAAUGUUGAGCCAUUGGAUCGUAAUUAGUUUCAGAUAUGUUACUCUAGACAAUUUCAGAAUCAUGUAGGAUUUGACGGAUCGUGCAUCGGAGUCCCGG
rnacentral:lncRNA from 1 species